rnacentral:rRNA from 1 species
GCCUGCGAUGCUUAUCGUAGGCAAUGUGGUGUUCAGGGAUUGACCAGGGUACGGUCAUUGGCUCCAGUCCAUUCUUGAAAUGGCUGCUGAACGGGUGAUAGCCCCGUAGGAGUCAAUGUAAUGCAUACUGUGCCUUCGAUGUCUUUCCCUUGGAGUCGGAUUGUUUGAGAAUGCAGUCCAAAGUUGGUGGUAAACUCCAUCAAAGGCUAAAUACCUGCGUGAGUCCGAUAGCUAACAAGUACCGUGAGGGAAAGUUGAAAAGUACUCUAAAUAGAGAGUAAAUAGUACGUGAAACUACAUAGAGGUUAACCGAACGGAGUCAGACUUCUCGACUGGUACGAUAAAACUCGAGUUUAAUGAAUGGCUAGCUUUGCUUUGGGUUUGCUUCAACUCUACCGUGUGCUUUUCUUACAUUGUACGAGUUCAUUGCAAGAGCUAAUCCUCGAGUGCUUCGUGCUGGUCAGCAGCUCAUUCAGUGUCCGCUUCCCGUUUACCCGGUAAACAUAGUGAGCUUCGAGCGAUCGGAGCAUGCUGUGAUGGCAGAAAUUGGCGUAGACUUCGGCCUACGUCAAUUAGGUCGCCUUCGGGCUGCUGCCGGGAUAAGCAGGAUAGAGGUUCACUGGUUGAUUGGCUGGAGCAGCGCUGCGUGAAUAGGCUCUGUGUAUGCUAUCGUCACUGUGAGGUA